UAAAGGGCGCGCAGGCGGUCUGGUAAGUCGGUCUUAAAAGUGCGGGGCUUAACCCCGUGAGGGGACCGAAACUGCCAGACUAGAGUAUCGGAGAGGAAAGCGGAAUUCCUAGUGUAGCGGUGAAAUGCGUAGAUAUUAGGAGGAACACCAGUGGCGAAAGCGGCUUUCUGGACGACAACUGACGCUGAGGCGCGAAAGCCAGGGGAGCAAACGGGAUUAGAUACCCCGGUAGUCCUGGCCGUAAACGAUGGAUACUAGGUGUAGGAGGUAUCGACCCCUUCUGUGCCGGAGUUAACGCAAUAAGUAUCCCGCCUGGGGAGUACGGCCGCAAGGCUGAAACUCAAAGGAAUUGACGGGGGCCCGCACAAGCGGUGGAGUAUGUGGUUUAAUUCGACGCAACGCGAAGAACCUUACCAAGCCUUGACAUUGAUUGCUAGGGAAAGAGAUUUCCCGUUCUUCUUCGGAAGACAUGAAAACAGGUGGUGCACGGCUGUCGUCAGCUCGUGUCGUGAGAUGCUGGGUUAAGUCCCGCAACGAGCGCAACCCCUAUCUUCUGUUACCAGCGGUUCGGCCGGGGACUCAGGAGAGACUGCCGCAGACAAUGCGGAGGAAGGCGGGGAUGACGUCAAGUCAUCAUGCCCCUUAUGGCUUGGGCUACACACGUACUACAAUGGCUCUUAAUAGAGGGACGCGAAGGAACGAUCCGGAGCAAACCCCAAAAACAGAGUCCCAGUUCGGAUUGCAGGCUGCAACCCGCCUGCAUGAAGCAGGAAUCGCUAGUAAUCGCAGGUCAGCAUACUGCGGUGAA
rnacentral:rRNA from 1 species